rnacentral:rRNA from 1 species
UAAUACGUAGGCAGCGAGCGUUGUUCGGAGUUACUGGGCGUAAAGAGUGUGUAGGCGGUUGGGUAAGUUCGGUGUGAAAUCUCCCGGCUUAACUGGGAGGGUGCGCCGAAAACUGCCUGGCUUGAGUACGGGAGAGGGAAGCGGAAUUCCUGGUGUAGCGGUGAAAUGCGUAGAUAUCAGGAGGAACACCUGCGGUGUAGACGGCUUCCUGGACCGAGACUGACGCUGAGACACGAAAGCGUGGGUAGCAAACAGGAUUAGAUACCCUGGUAGUCCACGCCCUAAACGAUGCAUACUUGGUGUUGGCCAUUCAGUUGGUCAGUGCCGGAGCUAACGCGUUAAGUAUGCCGCCUGGGGAGUACGGUCGCAAGGCUG